rnacentral:rRNA from 1 species
CCUACGGGAGGCAGCAGUGGGGAAUAUUGGACAAUGGGCGAAAGCCUGAUCCAGCCAUGCCGCGUGUGUGAAGAAGGCCUUCGGGUUGUAAAGCACUUUCAGUGGGGAAGAAAGCCUUGGGGCUAAUACCCUCGAGGAAGGACAUCACCCACAGAAGAAGCACCGGCUAACUCCGUGCCAGCAGCCGCGGUAAUACGGAGGGUGCGAGCGUUAAUCGGAAUUACUGGGCGUAAAGCGCGCGUAGGCGGUUUGAUAAGCCGGUUGUGAAAGCCCCGGGCUCAACCUGGGAACGGCAUCCGGAACUGUCAGGCUAGAGUGCAGGAGAGGAAGGUAGAAUUCCCGGUGUAGCGGUGAAAUGCGUAGAGAUCGGGAGGAAUACCAGUGGCGAAGGCGGCCUUCUGGACUGACACUGACGCUGAGGUGCGAAAGCGUGGGUAGCAAACAGGAUUAGAUACCCUUGUAGUC